GAUGAACGCUGGCGGCGUGCCUAAUACAUGCAAGUCGAGCGAACAGAUGAGGAGCUUGCUCCUCUGACGUUAGCGGCGGACGGGUGAGUAACACGUGGAUAACCUACCUAUAAGACUGGGAUAACUUCGGGAAACCGGAGCUAAUACCGGAUAAUAUAUUGAACCGCAUGGUUCAAUAGUGAAAGACGGUUUUGCUGUCACUUAUAGAUGGAUCCGCGCCGCAUUAGCUAGUUGGUAAGGUAACGGCUUACCAAGGCAACGAUGCGUAGCCGACCGGAGAGGGGGGUCGGCCACACUGGAGGGGAGACGCGGUCCAUACGCCUACGGGAGGCAGCAGUAGGGAAUCUUCCGCAAUGGGCGAAAGCCUGACGGAGCAACGCCGCGUGAGUGAUGAAGGUCUUGGGAGCGGAAAACUCUGUUAUGAGGGAAGAACAAAUGUGGAAGUAAAUGUGCACGGCGUGACGGUACCGAAUCAGAAAGCCACGGCUAACUACGUG
rnacentral:rRNA from 1 species